rnacentral:rRNA from 1 species
UACGGGGGGAGCAAGCGUUGUUCGGAUUUACUGGGCGUAAAGGGCGCGUAGGCGGCGUGACAAGUCACUUGUGAAAUCUCCGGGCUUAACUCGGAACGGUCAAGUGAUACUGUCGUGCUAGAGUACAGAAGGGGCAACUGGAAUUCUCGGUGUAGCGGUGAAAUGCGUAGAUAUCGAGAGGAACACCCGUGGCGAAGGCGGUUCUCUGGGACGGUACUGACGCUGAGACGCGGAAGCGUGGGGAGCGAACAGG